rnacentral:rRNA from 1 species
UACGUAGGGGGCGAGCGUUGUCCGGAUUUAUUGGGCGUAAAGAGCGUGUAGGCGGCCAGGUAGGUCUGCUGUGAAAACUCGGAGGCUCAACCUCGAGACGUCGGGCGGAAACCAUCUGGCUAGAGUCCGGAAGAGGAGAGUGGAAUUCCUGGUGUAGCGGUGAAAUGCGCAGAUAUCAGGAAGAACACCCGUGGCGAAGGCGGCUCUCUGGGACGGUACUGACGCUGAGACGCGAAAGCGUGGGGAGCGAACAGG